rnacentral:sRNA from 2 species
AUACAAGUGUUGCUGGAACGGAGGAACCAAAUUUUGGGGCUAAUCUCGCAAAGGUAGUCUUUGGAAACAGAGUGACCAAGACAUGAGAAGGGCAUCUCUCAGCCCUCGCCCGUCAGCUAACUUCGUAGGCAUUGAGAGGAGUCUGA